rnacentral:misc_RNA from 1 species
UUAUUUCAUUGGAGUAAAAUAUUCAGACAAUUGGUUCUUAACAGGGUUUUGUAAAUGGUCUUCUCACUGGCUGGCCGUGAAUGAAUCUUACACAAGCCAAAGUUUCUCAAACACAAGAUAUGGAAACUCAUCCAGUGGAAGCAACAGGGUAAAUAAAACAAUGGGAUAGCACGGAACGCUAAAUAAGUAUUUCGAUAAUGAUCCUUCCGCAGGUUCACCUACGGAAA